GAUGGACGCUAGCGGCAGGCCUAAUACAUGCAAGUCGAACGAUAGUUGAGAGCUUGCUCUUGACGAAAGUGGCGCACGGGUGCGUAACGCGUAUGCAACCUACCUUAAUCAGGGGGAUAGCCCGAAGAAAUUCGGAUUAACACCGCAUAAAAACACAGGAUGGCAUUAUCCAAUGUUCAAAUAUUUAUAGGAUUAAGAUG
rnacentral:rRNA from 1 species